CAAUCUGCCUUGGAGUGGGGAAUAACGGUUGGAAACAGCCGCUAAUACCGCAUGAUGUAUCUGUGUCGCAUGGCACUGGAUACCAAAGAUUUAUCGCUCUGAGAUGAGCUCGCGUCUGAUUAGCUGGUUGGCGGGGUAACGGCCCACCAAGGCGACGAUCAGUAGCCGGACUGAGAGGUUGGCCGGCCACAUUGGGACUGAGACACGGCCCAGACUCCUACGGAAGGCAGCAG
rnacentral:rRNA from 1 species